rnacentral:rRNA from 1 species
AUGAACGCUGGCGGCGUGCCUAAUACAUGCAAGUCGAGCGAACAGAUGAGGAGCUUGCUCCUCUGACGUUAGCGGCGGGCGGGUGAGUAACACGUGGAUAACCUACCUAUAAGACUGGGAUAACUUCGGGAAACCGGAGCUAAUACCGGAUAAUAUAUUGAACCGCAUGGUUCAAUAGUGAAAGACGGUUUUGCUGUCACUUAUAGAUGGAUCCGCGCCGCAUUAGCUAGUUGGUAAGGUAACGGCUUACCAAGGCAACGAUGCGUAGCCGACCUGAGAGGGUGAUCGGCCACACUGGAACUGAGACACGGUCCAGACUCCUACGGGAGGCAGCAGUAGGGAAUCUUCCGCAAUGGGCGAAAGCCUGACGGAGCAACGCCGCGUGAGUGAUGAAGGUCUUCGGAUCGUAAAACUCUGUUAUUAGGGAAGAACAAAUGUGUAAGUAACUAUGCACGUCUUGACGGUACCUAAUCAGAAAGCCACGGCUAACUACGUG